rnacentral:rRNA from 1 species
UACGAAGGGGGCUAGCGUUGCUCGGAAUCACUGGGCGUAAAGCGCACGUAGGCGGAUCUUUAAGUCAGGGGUGAAAUCCCAAGGCUCAACCUUGGAACUGCCUUUGAUACUGGGGAUCUCGAGUCCGGAAGAGGUUGGUGGAACUGCGAGUGUAGAGGUGAAAUUCGUAGAUAUUCGCAAGAACACCAGUGGCGAAGGCGGCUUACUGGUCCGGUUCUGACGCUGAGGCGCGAAAGCGUGGGGAGCAAACAGG